GAGGCCUUUUGGCAAAAACGAUCAGAAGUGUUUGAUAGUCUGUAAGCUAUUUUGCUGGAACAUAAAUAUUUCAGGAAACAAUACACUGUUGAAGGAAAAUAUUUUAAAAACAGUUUUAAAAAGUAACUGUCUUUGGUUAUUCCAUCUCUGAAGUUUUCUCCUAUUAUUAUUUUCCCUUCAAGGACCAAGCUUCUAUGCCUGAUGUUUUAAGACCAAAAAGGG
rnacentral:lncRNA from 1 species